rnacentral:rRNA from 1 species
AAGACCUUGCACUUUUGGAGCGGCCGAUGUCUGAUUAGCUAGUUGGUGGGGUAAUGGCCUACCAAAGCUUCGAUCAGUAGCUGGUCUGAGAGGACGGCCAGCCACACUGGGACUGAGACACGGCCCAGACUCCUACGGGAGGCAGCAGUGGGGAAUUUUGGACAAUGGGCGCAAGCCUGAUCCAGCCAUGCCGCGUGAGUGAAGAAGGCCUUCGGGUUGUAAAGCUCUUUCAGUCGGGAAGAAAAGGUUGCGACUAAUAAUCGCAAUUCAUGACGGUACCGAAAGAAGAAGCACCGGCUAACUACGUGCCAGCAGCCGCGGUAAUACGUAGGGUGCGAGCGUUAAUCGGAAUUACUGGGCGUAAAGGGUGCGCAGGCGGUUUUGUAAGUCAGAUAUGAAAUCCCCGGGCUUAACCUGGGAACU